CGGGUGCGUAACACGUGAGCAACCUACCGAUUUGUGGGGGAUAGCCGGCCCAACGGCCGGGUAAUACCGCAUACGCUCUUUGGGCUUCAUGGCCUAUUGAGGAAACCUCCGGGGCAAAUCGAGGGGCUCGCGUCCUAUCAGCUAGUUGGCGAGGUCACGGCUCACCAAGGCGACGACGGGUAGCUGGUCUGAGAGGAUGGCCAGCCACAUUGGGACUGAGAAACGGCCCAG
rnacentral:rRNA from 1 species